GGUUAUCGAUGGGGAUGCGUUCCAUUAGUUUGUUGGCGGGGUAACGGCCCACCAAGACUACGAUGGAUAGGGGUUCUGAGAGGAAGGUCCCCCACAUUGGAACUGAGACACGGUCCAAACUCCUACGGGAGGCAGCAGUGAGGAAUAUUGGUCAAUGGGCGAGAGCCUGAACCAGCCAAGUAGCGUGAAGGAUGAAGGCUCUAUGGGUCGUAAACUUCUUUUAUAUGGGAAUAAAGUUUUCCACGUGUGGAAUUUUGUAUGUACCAUAUGAAUAAGGAUCGGCUAACUCCGUGCCAGCAGCCGCGGUAAUACGGAGGAUCCGAGCGUUAUCCGGAUUUAUUGGGUUUAAAGGGAGCGUAGGUGGAUUGUUAAGUCAGUUGUGAAAGUUUGCGGCUCAACCGUAAAAUUGCAGUUGAAACUGGCAGUCUUGAGUACAGUAGAGGUGGGCGGAAUUCGUGGUGUAGCGGUGAAAUGCUUAGAUAUCACGAAGAACUCCGAUUGCGAAGGCAGCUCACUAGACUGUUACUGACACUGAUGCUCGAAAGUGUGGGUAUCAAACAGGAUUAGAUACCCUGGUAGUCCACACAGUAAACGAUGAAUACUCGCUGUUUGCGAUAUACAGUAAGCGGCC
rnacentral:rRNA from 1 species